GGCAUAUUUUGCAGAGUGCUUUUGAUAUAACCAUAAUUUCGUUGAUUGCCCAAAUAGACACACAAAUAUUUAUAUUUAUUGGCUGUGCUUUGUAGCAGCGAUUUGCUUUUGGGUCUCGAUUAGCAUAUAAUACAUGGAACAGCCACAUUCCGUGUACGUAUUUGUGUGAACUACAGUUUGGUGUUUCAUGCGGCAUUUCGUUGAUUGUUGUUGCGGGUAAAAAGAUUUUUAAUUAAAAUCAGUAGAAAUUAGCGAAACCAUGCGAGGAGCUCCGCCAUGCCGCAAAUAUAUUUUCUGAGGGAAAAUCAGGCAACAAAAUUCGCAAACGAAGAGCCCCUGCCACCCAAUUUACCGUGCAUGUUGCACAACAAUUAAAUUGAAUCAACUGAACAUGCAAUGCCAACACUGACAAUUGCAGGAACAACAACGGGGCACUUCGGCAACAACAAAUCGUGUGUUCCACCAGGAACUUAAGUUCUGCCAAGCGAAUCGAGGCUUUAUCUGCGGUGGAUUCAUGGAUAUCGACUGGACGGACUUUUGUGCCAUUGUUUAUGGGUUUGUUGAUGGCCAUAUUUUCGUAUAAUUUAAUCUCUGUGCCGUUAAAGCAGAUACCAGCACGCAUGCAAGCGUAUUUAUCCUAUUAAAAAUUAAAGUCCAUCUCAGUGCAUCUCGGAAAAUUCCUUCAUUUCGCCUGCCCGACCGAAUAAAGCGGCAUUUAUUUUAAUUUGCCGGGAAUUACGCGCGGAAAGUCUAGGAGAACGUGUGCCUUAAUGCGGCCACAGGACAACAAGUAAUUAUAUUUGGUCGCCCGAUGUUAACGUAUUUAAAUUCGAGAGAUGGCGUGAAAACGUCAAGCAGCCCGAAGUCACAAUUUUCCAGGUGGAAACCGCAUUUUUCCCCCCGGCCUUUGUGUGUGCACUUUUCAUUAAGAAGAAGCUGCCAUAUUUGUCCCUGUCAAUAUGGCCAGGACAUCUGUGGCACAGUUAAAGCGUAAAUUCGGUCAUAUAACCUAUAAAGGCAGCGAUUUUUUUCGCAUCUAAAAUUGCUAAAAAUUCUGGCCAUUGCCACUUUCUUGCCGACGGCAGUAAUUUCAGAUUUUAAUUAAAUUCUUGUCGUGUUUGGCUUGCCACAGAAGCACACCUACCUGCAUGCCCGUACAGCCAGCAGCAGGAUGACGAGGCAUCAUCGCCGCUCCUGCCGCUCCGUUCCUCCUUCUCCUGUCGCUUGCAGCCAACAAACAAUCCGGAUCCGGCUGCCACGCCCCCCAUUCCGUGCACCUGGAAGCAAUCCGGCCGCAGCCAUGGCCGCCAUACCUCCAGCAGGAUGUUUCUCUUGGGUGUCACAACAUUUGUGAAGCCCUGACGCAAAAUUAAAUACCGUCAAACGGCAGCCAACGGCACGAAGUGCGAACCACUUCUCAGAAACUGCGAUGGCGCUCUGAUUGAUUAGAAAAUUGUGAAGCUCUCUUUGCAAGGUGCCCAUGGACGGGAUUAUUCUGGAUUAUCUUGUAAAUUUGAAAAUAAUUUCUACGACUA